rnacentral:rRNA from 1 species
GCAAGUCGAGCGUUUUCACGAUAAGCUUGCUUCUCUGAGUUAGCUGCGCAUCGAUGAGUGACACGUGGAUUACCGACCUAUAAAACUGCUAGAACUUCGGGAAACCGGAUCUAAUACCGGAUAAUAUUUUGAACCGGAUGGUUCACAAGUGAAAGACAGUCUUGCUGUCACUUAUUCAUGGAUCCCCGCUGCGUUAUCUACUUGGUAAGGUAACGGCUUACCAAGGCAACGAUGCAUAGCCGACCUGAGAGGGUGAUCGGCCACACUGGAACUGAUACACGGUCCAGACUCCUACGGGAGGCAGCAGUAGGGAAUCUUCCGCAAUGGGCGAAAGCCUGACGGAGCAACGCCGCGUGAGUGAUGAAGGUCUUCGGAUCGUAAAACUCUGUUAUUAGGGAAGAACAUAUGUGUAAGUAACUGUGCCCAUCUUGACGGUACCUAAUCAUAAAGCCACGGCUAAUUACGUGCCA